UUUCCGUAGGUGAACCUGCGGAAGGAUCAUUACUGAAAUGUAAUAACUUCUAUUGAAAGGUUCCAGAGUAGGCGCUACAACGCCGAAAUGACCUUCUCACCCUUGUGUACUCACUAUGUUGCUUUGGCGGGUCGACCUGGUUCCGACCCAGGCGGCCGGCGCCCCCAGCCUUAACUGGCCAGGACGCCCGGCUAAGUGCCCGCCAGUAUACAAAACUCAAGAAUUCAUUUUGUGAAGUCCUGAUAUAUCAUUUAAUUGAUUAAAACUUUCAACAACGGAUCUCUUGGUUCUGGCAUCGAUGAAGAACGCAGC
rnacentral:misc_RNA from 1 species